GCGUGUCUGAGUUGGGCUCAGAUACAAGGCCUGCUCCUCUCAAAUUUCUCAGCUUAUCUCACAGGAAGAAGAGGUAUGGAUUCAGAGUAACUCUCCACCUCGCAGAGAACAUGAGUUCUAAGAAGAUAUUCAUCACACGGGGCAUGGAGAGAAAGGACGCAAGGGAACAGAAGAGCGAAAGGAAGGCAAUUCAAGCACAUAAGAAGCUGUGCCUCCCGUUGCUCGCUGCCUCUUUUGAGGACUCUCACAGCAGAUUCUUUGGCUUUUCACUUUACACAGCAGAUUCUUUACUUGCUGAGCCAUCAGGGAAGCUCUGAUUUCUUGAGUGAUUAAACCUUAAAUAAGUCUGGAUCUGGACCAUACUGUGAAAAGCCUCGCUUUGAAAGGUAGAAAUGUAAGUUUGCAUCAGAGAUCAUCCUUUUAUUGUGUUGAAGGCCAGGUCCUGCAUGCUGACAAAUAACAGACAGAAGUAAAAACACUGUCCUCUCCUCAUUACACUUAGUGCCCACCCUAACCUUAGAGCUGUCAGAGAACAGACAAAAAACUCAGGAGACUAGAGGGCCACCACUGUCAAAGGAAAACUGUUGUUUCUUGAGCUGAGAUUCUACAAGCUCUUCCUUGUCUAAUGUGCAUCAGGGAACAUAAGUUGAAGGUUUUUCAGGCAGAAGAAUACAUGAUUAUAAGUAGCUU
ensembl:lncRNA